GGGGGCGAUCGGUUUCGACGGAUGGUCGAAAGCGGGCGCUGCGUGCCGAGGGCGUCAUCCACCUCGUUAAUCCGGUGGCAAGUUGGUAGUGAUAACUGCCGACGCUAAUUACGCACUCGCUGCCUAGCUAAUCCCUAGCGACAGCGACGCCCGUCCGCGACGCCUUCUAGCGGGUUGCGGGCGUCAUCAGAAGGCUGGUCCCCGGCCGCUGGCAGACCGCAACCGGGGGCGAGAAUCAUGUCUGUCUAGGUGGGCGCUUCUCCCAGUUUCCGCGACAGGCCCCACCGAAAUCGGGCGGAAGCUACGCACGUAGACGCGCUGGCCGGACACCAUGCGGACGCGGGUUCGAUUCCCGCCGCCUCCACCA
rnacentral:tmRNA from 1 species